rnacentral:rRNA from 1 species
AUUGAACGCUGGCGGCAGGCCCAACACAUGCAAGUCGAGCGAGCGGCGGACGGGUGAGUAAUGUAUGGGGACUGCCCGAUAGAGGGGGAUAACUACUGGAAACGGUAGCUAAUACCGCAUACUAUCGGAUAACCCAUAUGGGAUUAGCUAGUAGGUGAGGUAAUGGCUCACCUAGGCGACGAUCCCUAGCUGGUCUGAGAGGAUGAUCAGACACACUGGUACUUAGAUACGCCCCAGCCUCCUCCGGAGACAGCAGUGGGGAAUAUUGCUCAAUGGGCCCAAGCCUGAUGCAGCCAUCCCGCUUGUAUGAAGAAGGCCCUAGGUUUGUAAAGUACUUUCAGUCGGGAGGCGUUACCUUCAGCAGAAGCACCGGCUAACUCCGUGCCAGCCGCCGCGGUAAUUC